CAAUAGCGUAUAUUAAAGUUGUUGCGGUUAAAAAGCUCGUAGUUGGAUUUCUGUUGGGAACGACCGGUCCGCCCAUUGGGUGUGUAUCUGGCUUGUUCUCGGCAUCUUCUUGGUGAACGUUGCUGCACUUGACUGUGUGGAGCGCUACCCAGGACUUUUACUUUGAGGAAAUUAGAGUGUUUCAAGCAGGCAUACGCCUUGAAUACAUUAGCAUGGAAUAAUAAGAUAGGACCUCGGUUCUAUUUUGUUGGUUUCUAGAGCUGAGGUAAUGAUUAAUAGGGAUAGUUGGGGGCAUUCGUAUUUAACUGUCAGAGGUGAAAUUCUUGGAUUUGCUAAAGACGGACUACUGCGAAAGCAUUUGCCAAGGAUGUUUUCAUUGA
rnacentral:rRNA from 1 species